rnacentral:lncRNA from 1 species
CACCAGCAAGUCAAGGUUUAAGAGGAUGUCACUGGACAUUCAGGCAGAGAAACCAGUCAUGGCUUCGCCUUUAGACUCAGACAGCUGCUUCCCAGGACCUUGCUCCUCCGAGGCUCAGGGCACGCCCGGGUCGAGGGAAGUUGUGUCCGAAAUGGUUUCUGAGCUUCUUGGAGGAAACGGAGUCACGGUAGAAAGAAAGACAAUCGUCUCACAAAUGGGUGGUGGCACCAACUCCUUCCAGGAUGGAGCUGAGGCUUCACUGAGACCACCAGAUCCAGGACUGGAGCACUCCACGGCCAGGCACGAUGAUGGCGAUGAUGGCGAGAAAGGAUUAGCAUAACUUUCUGGAGCCCUCGACUGUCACUUAGCAGGGAUAUGGCACACAGGCCAGAAGGUCAGCUGAAGGGCCCACCAUGUUGUGAUAAUGGAGAUUCCACCAGCAUCAGCUGGAGAAGGACGUGGCAGAGACUCAGAGAGGUCAAGAGCUCUUCAAGAGGAUCGGCCACCAUGGACAACACAGGGCCCUGACAAUGGCGGAGAACAGGACAUGAGUCUGUCAGCUCCAGAAGUGAGGAAUCAACGAGAAAGCCAUCUUCAAACAAGAAAGAUAGCCUUUGCCAAGAGCUAGACUCUCCUGGGACCUAAUCUUGAACUCUAAGCCUCCAGAACUGUGAGAAAGAAAAUUCUAUUCCUUAAGCCACCCAGUCUGUGGCAUUCUGUUACAGCAGACCAAGGUGACCUAGACAACUUCUGCCCCUUCCCAUGGCACACCAGGCCCCCGUGGCCCAGCCCCGGCCUGCACCUGACGUCUGCUCACUGUCUUGGCCCCAUCAUCAGCUCUUGUCCCACA